rnacentral:rRNA from 1 species
AUUGAACGCUGGCGGCAUGCUUUACACAUGCAAGUCGAACGGUAGAGGGGGCAACCCCUCGAGAGUGGCGAACGGGUGAGUAAUAUAUCGGAACGUGACCACUCGUGGGGGAUAACGUAGCGAAAGUUACGCUAAUACCGCAUACGAUCUAAGGAUUAAAGCGGGGGAUCGCAAGACCGCGCGCGAUUGGAGCGGCCCAUAUCAGAUUAGGUAGUUGGUGGGGUAAAGGCCCACCAAGCCAACGAUCUGUAGCUGGUCUGAGAGGACGACCAGCCACACUGGAACUGAGACACGGUCCAGACUCCUACGGGAGGCAGCAGUGGGGAAUUUUGGACAAUGGGCGAAAGCCUGAUCCAGCCAUUCCGCGUGCAGGAUGAAGGCCCUCGGGUUGUAAACUGCUUUUGUACAGAACGAAAAGGUUUCUACUAAUACUAGGAGCUCAUGACGGUACUGUAAGAAUAAGCACCGGCUAACUACGUGCCAGCCGCCGCAGUAA